rnacentral:ncRNA from 18 species
AAACAAAACUUUAUGGAUAAAUCUGGGAGUAAAAUGUAUCUACUCGAAGAACAACAAACACAAUCGAAAGGAGACUACAUCUUGAUUUGCGCCGGAUGCAGAUCAAAAGUCGCAC